CCACACCUCACAUCAUCACCACAGGAGGAUUGUCUCAUGACCGUGGAGUCCUUGCAUUUAUAUAAAAAAAAUAGUCAUGAUAACUAGGAAAGGCUGUCUCUUCAGGCAUUCAACCCAGUCUGGCUAGACAGGUUUCACACUGUAGUCUAAGCUGGGCUUGAACUUGUGAUUCUCCUGCCUCAGCCUCCUGAGUGCUGGUAUUACAAGUAUGUACCACUAUAUCUGGUAGCUCCCCCUCUUUCUAGCAUUUGCUUCUCCCCCACCCCGUGUAUGUGUGCGACAUGAUGCCAUGAUGUGCUUGUGGAGGUCAGCUCUCUCUCUCCCUUCUUCCACUAUGUGGAUCCUUGGGAAUUGAACCAAGGUCGUCAAGCUUGGCAGUUCAGAUGUAAGUGCACUUAUCGCCUGAGCUAUCUCAUCAGCUCCCCUAUCCCUGCCAGAGAUAGAGGCUCCUGAUGUUGGCCUAUGAAAUCUUGGGGAU
rnacentral:lncRNA from 1 species